rnacentral:lncRNA from 1 species
AUCACCGCCUCCUUGUCCCACCAAGGGCAGAAAGCCCAGCCCCGUCCUGGCUGGGCGGGACUCCAGUGCUGGGUGCCAAGGCCACCCGGCCACAGCCGCUCCCGCUCGCUGUUCGUCUUGCUUUGGUACCUCAGGACGCCAGGGACCAGAGCUACAACACCGCCACAGCCCCUCAUUCAAGUGCUGGGCCGCCUCCCAGAGCUGCAACCCUGACUCGGGACGGACCAGCGCAGCUAGUGCUGCGCAGCGCAGGAAAGGCAAACAGAGAGCCUGUGUUCGGUACUGGUGCCUCCUGGAGCUACAAGGCUGGCUUUCAACCUGACUCAGCCUUCCCGGUGAUCACACGAGUGUGCCAAGUGCUGUGCCUUCGCAGAUAAACUGUGACUGAAAGACCAAUGGCUGUGGACGCAGGAAUGCAGGCUGAAGACAGCCGCACUUCCCUCAGCGAGCUCUGGCUGUGCGCACUGUCCUCGGGAGUCAACUAGGAGUCCCCAGAGCUCUCUGCCCUGGACCCAAGCUGCCGCGAAGACACAGAGGAAACCUGGUACUGAGGACACAGUACCAAACCUGGUACUUCUUCAUAAAAGGUCUUCCAGCUGCAUGAGACAGGUACACACCCCAUUACUGCAUUCCUACCCCUCAGAGGGCGCAGGAGAAGCCCCGUGUGCUUCUAACCUGAUGGCAGCACCCCCUCCCUGCUCAGAUGGGUAAAUCAGAAGGUAAAUCCCUACCCGAGAUCAGGCAGGGAGUAACUAUGUGACCCGAAGCCCAUCACUCACUCUCCUCGAAGAGACAUCUGACUAGGGUUCUGAGGACUGAACAGAAGUUCAUGGGGGAAAGCUGAGAGGAAAUAAAUAGCAGAGAAAGAAAUUGACGCCUUGAAUC